rnacentral:rRNA from 1 species
GGUUAAGCGACUAAGCGUACACGGUGGAUGCCCUGGCAGUCAGAGGCGAUGAAGGACGUGCUAAUCUGCGAUAAGCGUCGGUAAGGUGAUAUGAACCGUUAUAACCGGCGAUUUCCGAAUGGGGAAACCCAGUGUGAUUCGUCACACUAUCAUUAACUGAAUCCAUAGGUUAAUGAGGCGAACCGGGGGAACUGAAACAUCUAAGUACCCCGAGGAAAAGAAAUCAACCGAGAUUCCCCCAGUAGCGGCGAGCGAAC